rnacentral:rRNA from 1 species
AUUGAACGCUGGCGGCAUGCCUUACACAUGCAAGUCGAACAGUAACAGGUCUUCGGAUGCUGACGAGUGGCGAACGGGUAAGUAAUACAUCGGAACGUGCCCGAUCGUGGGGGAUAACGGAGCGAAAGCUUUGCUAAUACCGCAUACGAUCUACGGAUGAAAGCAGGGGACCGCAAGGCCUUGCGCGGACGGAGCGGCCGAUGGCAGAUUAGGUAGUUGGUGGGAUAAAAGCUUACCAAGCCGACGAUCUGUAGCUGGUCUGAGAGGACGACCAGCCACACUGGGACUGAGACACGGCCCAGACUCCUACGGGAGGCAGCAGUGGGGAAUUUUGGACAAUGGGCGCAAGCCUGAUCCAGCCAUGCCGCGUGCAGGAUGAAGGCCUUCGGGUUGUAAACUGCUUUUGUACGGAACGAAAAGACUCUGGUUAAUACCUGGGGUCCAUGACGGUACCGUAAGAAUAAGCACCGGCUAACUACGUGCCAGCCGCCGCAGUAACAC